CCCCCCCCGCCGCCGCCGCAACAAUAUCACUCAAGUAAAAAGUGACAACACAAUGCAAGAGGACGGCAACAGCAACGAGAAACGGUGUCCAAAGCACACCGGCCAAGCAACUGCCCCAGAAAUUACAAGAAAAGGUUAAAAAGAGGUUUUUAAAGAAGAAUCAUACUACCUGACCAGGUAUACCGAACAAUAACCCGAAUUUCAGGAGUAACGCCGGAGCCUUUGAAGCUCUGAAAGCAGAGACACCUUCACACCGUACUCUCGCUCCCAGCGCUCACUAGAUAAAUGGCGACGUCAACCGAAUUCCAGCAGCGUCAGCACACCGGAAGCAAUGGAUCACAUGACCGUCUCCCUCGUAACCGCCCCGUUGCGCACCUUGAAUAAUACUGACAGUACGUAAGCCCAAGGAAGAAAUCUUCCUGAAUCUUGUUGAGAAGCCAUUUCCAUGGAAAAAUACAUCUAGCCCAUUGAAAGUCAGCUUAUGGAGACUGAGUAAGCCCAAGGAAAAGAUCUUCCUGAAUCUUGUUGAGAGAAGCCAUUUCCAUGGAAAAAUACAUCUAGCCCAUUGAAAGUCAGCUUAUGGAGACUGCAGUUUAAUGCAAAUGACCCUGGAUAGUGAAGGAAGAAGAAACAGCAGUUAUAAAGCUUUGGUAGCUGACACUCUCAUCUCACAGAACUGCUCUCACUUCUUCGUAACAAGCUCAAUCAACAAAUGAGAAUGGACAGAAUGCUGAUUGGUAACUGAAUCUUCCAGUCAGUCUCCAGGACUGCCCAGGAUUCUUUGACAAGUUAUUUCCAGUAACCAGAGAGGAGGCUAGCAGCUAACCAGACCAAAGUUUGUCUCAAAUUCCUGUAACCAUUAAUAUCUUUUUAACAUGCUCAAUUGUUGAAGGAAGCAGCAUGCUUUGCAGUACAAGUACAAAGCAUUGUGGUAUUGUGGAAGUCAAGUUUGAGGCUCACUCCAGUGAGGUCCAGAGUUCAUCGAUCUAAUCAGAAUGAAUCAUACAGCCAAGUCGACAGCAACGCUCUUCACACCCCUUGGGAGUGAAGAGGAGGAGGUAAAACUGAGCUUUCACUCUGAUACCUAAAAAUCAGGAUGGGAAAAGGCUGGAAACUAAAAACAUCUGCAGAGAGAGAAAAAACAAAGUUAACAUUUCAGUUCUGUAAUCUUUCAUUGGAACAGCACUGAAAAGAUAACACUGUUCCUUUCUCCACAAACACUACCAGACCUGCUGAAUAUUUCUAGUUAUCAUACAUCAGAUUUCAGCAGUUGCAGUGUUUUGCUUUUGUACAGAUUAGAUAGGCUACUUUCUUAGGAGCAGGAAGACUGUGGCUGUGAGGGGUUCGGUAGCUUACAGGGAAGCAACAACUUAGAUUUCACUGAAUAAAAUAACACUUAAUGAUCUAGAGAUAGUGGGAACUGCAGAUGCUGGAGAAUCUGAGAUAACAAGGUGUGGAGCUGGAUGAACACUGCAAGCCAAGCA